rnacentral:rRNA from 1 species
UACGUAGGGGGCAAGCGUUGUCCGGAUUUAUUGGGCGUAAAGAGCGUGUAGGCGGCCAGGUAGGUCCGUUGUGAAAACUCAAGGCUCAACCUCGAGACGCCGAUGGAAACCAUCUGGCUAGAGUCCGGAAGAGGAGAGUGGAAUUCCCGGUGUAGCGGUGAAAUGCGCAGAUAUCGGGAAGAACACCCGUGGCUAAGGCGGCUCUCUAGUACGGUACUGACGCUGAGACGCGAAAGCGUGGGGAGCGAACAGG